UACGUAGGUGGCGAGCGUUGUCCGGAAUUAUUGGGCGUAAAGGGCUCGUAGGCGGUUCGUCACGUCGGGAGUGAAAACCAGGUGCUUAACACCUGGCUUGCUUUCGAUACGGGCAGACUAGAGGCAUGCAGGGGGAGAACGGAAUUCCUGGUGUAGCGGUGAAAUGCGCAGAUAUCAGGAGGAACACCGGUGGCGAAGGCGGUUCUCUGGGCAUGUCCUGACGCUGAGGAGCGAAAGUGUGGGGAGCGAACAGG
rnacentral:rRNA from 1 species